UUUACGUGCGUGCUGGGGUGGUUUGCGUGAGAGAGGUUUGAGCUGGCGAGCCAUGGCAUCUUUGUUCGUCUUUGCAGAGCGGACCUACACGGCAUACACGUAACUCUCACAGAUGGCAUUUGAUCGGUUUCGGGCAUCACGUGAGCAAAGAUGUUGUCCUCAUUGGCUGGCAGAUGUGCAUGACCCGUGGCUUCUUCGAUGUUUGCUAUCCCAUUGGUUGAGGUGCAGUAAGCUCCACCCAGUGUUGAGGAAUGCAUGCGGGCAUAUCCUAAUAAGGUCUUCCUACAGGAAGUCUUCACUCCGGAUUAGACUUGCUAGCAGAUCUCUUUUGGCGCUGAGGUACCUGGCUUUGUACUUUGCUUUCUUAUGUCGGUGUAUUUCUGCUCUUAAAACUAUAACAUCUGUUGUCAUAGCAACGACGGUAGGCGGGGAUGGAUGGGGUGAGGGGGAGAGAUUCUCUUCUCAUCUGUGGAUCUAACUGAUGGAUCGCUUAUGUUCAUGCAUCACACUUUCAUUGCCUUCCGCGUUAAAGUCCGUUGCAGAGAACGGACGUUUUUCGACGAUUGUUUAAUAUAUAGGUACAUGUAUGAUUGUGUAUAUGUUUGUAUUUAUGUACAAUAACGGUAAUUAUAGACGAUAAUGACAUUGAAUCUUUACUUGAAGCUGCAUCCCAAAUCAAAUGUAUUCUGGAGUUUGACGAAGGUUGCUGCAACACUUUAGUUGUUAUAGCCAGUUGUUAUAGUUUAUUUAGGGUAGAUACACUACCUACUCUACGUCUUUUAGCAAUAGUAGUUACGAAAUGGUUCUGCGAUUGCCCCGCACAACAGCAAUGUUGUGCUGAGUGUGUACAGAAUGAAACCACUGUAAAAUACGGUACAUUAUUAUGAGUUGAUAGGCGAUCGUUUUAAUCUAAUUAUGUUUUCGUUUUACCUCCGACUUAGUCGUGCGCGCGGAAGCUGAAACUGUAGCCGUGUUAGACGGGGUGAUUAAUUAAAACCUCAAGGUCGCAGUUAACGACAUGAUGGGCUCCGACAUCUUCACUGUUAUGAUGUAGCUAAGGGUUCGCGACGUAUCCAUGACAACGCGUAAAUGCGCGGCCAACGUGCCGCGAUCGUUGCCGAUCAGAGAGACUAGUCGCGAUUCGACGAAAUUCGUAAAUGCCGGCAGCCAUCUUAGAUUUUAGCUUUCGCGAAAGAUGGUUUGCGAUUAGUGGUAGAGCUUGCACGCCAGCGCUCGCGCGUCAGUCGCGUGCGCUGGGAGAGUUUGUGUGCUUUUGAUUUCGCUCGGCCGUCGAGCCUGCUGCGCCCUCUGCUGGCGGUUCCGGUCAAGACUUAGUUGUAGCGAGUAGCGCCCCCUGCACGUCGCCGCUUCGUAGCGGCGACAGUGCGACGUCGCACUAUCGGGAGAGUGGUGA